rnacentral:rRNA from 1 species
AACGAACGCUGGCGGCAGGCUUAAUACAUGCAAGUCGAACGUGAAAGUCCUUCGGGAUGAGUAAAGUGGCGCACGGGUGAGUAACGCGUGGGAACGUACCUUUUGGUGGGGGAUAACUACUGGAAACCGUAGCUAAUACCGCAUAAUGUCUUCGGACCAAAGAUUUAUUGCCAAAAGAUCGGCCCGCGUUGGAUUAGCUAGUUGGUGGGGUAAUGGCCUACCAAGGCGACGAUCUAUAGCUGGUCUGAGAGGAUGAUCAGCCACACUGGAACUGAGACACGGUCCAGACUCCUACGGGAGGCAGCAGUAGGGAAUAUUGGGCAAUGGGCGAAAGCCUGACCCAGCCAUGCCGCGUGAAUGAUGAAGGCCUUAGGGUUGUAAAGUUCUUUCGCAGGUGAAGAUAAUGACGGUAACCUGAUAAGAAGCCCCGGCUAACUUCGUGCCAGCAGCCGCGGUAA